AAGAUCAGAUGAGCCAGUUUAUCGAUCUGGGUGGUGCCGGCUGAUCCAUCAAGUGCAGGAUCUGCAAAAUAGUUCAAGCACUGGUCUUAGGUUUUACAAUCGUGAUUUUAUCUCCGGGAGCAGUUUGGGGAGAGUCAGAAUCUUGCAGCCUCCAGCGACAUGACACCUAACCGUAAUUUCUAAUCUUGUGGCUAAUUUGUUAGUCCUACAAAGGCAGUCUAGUCCCCAGGCAAGAAGGGGUUUUGUUUUGGGAAAGGGCUGUUAUUCUCUUUGUAUCAAACUAUAAACUAUUAAUAUAAACUAAAUUCCUCCCAAGGGGAGUUCAGCCUACACCCAGGAAUGCACAAGGACAGCUUGGAGCUUAGAAGCAAGUGGAGUUGGUUCAUCUCUUUCACUGGCUCAUAAUUUUGCAACGGCGGUUUCAUCUCUACCCUGACAAUACCUUUUAGUUUUCUUACCCACUGGGGUCGAGACUUAAUUGAAGACCUCAGACGGACAGCAUAACACGGAACCUGAGACCUUGAUUUGCGGGGACAGGCUUAAAGUGUAUUCUGGAGUUGGUGCCCCCACCCCAGGGGCCGGCUCAGAGGGUUCACUUUCCAGCCUAACGGCAGGGGAACCAGAGGCUGCCGACCUGGAUCUCACCUUGAUGGAGGUCUUGUCACCUUCCUCCUUGGCUGGAGAGACAGACUGUGGAUGCUCUCCUGCUGGCCACCCAAAAACAACAAACAGACAAACAAAUAUGAAUGAGGAAAACUUGAAGAGGCCCCACGUGCCAGAGGUGGGACAGCUUGAGAUUUGGUGAGGAUAAUUGCAGUGGCUCAAAACCCAUAAAGAAGUUUAAGUCCAUGAGUUCACCGUAAUCUGAAACAAAAACAAAAACAAAAACAAAUUGAUCAUCUUUGGAGGCUAACAAUCAAUUCAUUAUCUAGAGACAGACAGAGGCUCACUAGUGGCACGAUCUUGGCUGAUUGCAUCUUCCACCUCCUGGGUUCAAGAGAUUCUUGUGCCUUAGCUUCCUGAGUAGCUAAGAUUACAGGUGUGCACCACCACGCCCGGCUAAUUUUUGUAUUUUUAGUUGAGAUGAGGUUUCACCAUGUUGGCCAGGCUGGUCUCGAACUCCUGACCUCAAGUGAUCUGCCCGCCCCGGCCUCCCAAAGUGCUGGGAUUACAGGCGUGAGCUACUGUGGCCGGCCACAUUUCCCUUCUGGUGCGCGUCCUCCUGUAGCUGUGGGAUCAGGGGAGGUAGAGAUGUCUUGUAACUGACUCAAGUUUGGCUGCUUGCCGCAGGAGAAGCGAGGUGUGGUGAAAGGAAAGCAACUUUUAUUCAGAUGCUAGCAGGUGGGAGAGUGGCCAGGCUCAAGGCUCUAAGGAACCAUCUCAGCUUUUUGGACUGCGUGAAGGGCUUUAGGAAGGAGAACUCGGUGUGGGAGACAUGUGGGAGUAGGGCAGUGGUGCAGGUGUCUUGAGUAAUUGCCCAUCCGGAGGUCUAGUUGGCAUCAUCUUGACCUUGGUCUGGUGGUGGUGGACUCAUUGUUCAUAACUCCCCUAGACAGGAGGAUUCCACAGCUGGGUUCUAUGCCUGGUUUAUUUAAAAAUGAGCCCCUGGCAUUUCUAAGCAGGCACAGAAUGAGAUAAGUGAGCACUGUGGCUGGUGGGAAAGGGAGGGAAACAGGUUUAAAGUAUGUUUCAAGGCUGCAUUCUGAGACUAGGAGGGAAAGGAAGAAAAACUUUAAAAUUCUUCUCAAGGCUGAGAUAUUUGACUACAGUCUCAUGCCCAAAAUGUUUCUAUUCUACACUGAGACCUGAUAGAUAAUUUGGCUGCAUACCUGGAGUCCAGUGUGUGCACCUGCCCCUCCCAUCCCAUACUCGCAGCCAGUGGAAAAGUCUGCAAAAGGAAGCCAGCUGGGAGUGCCCACCAGAGUCAAAGUCUGGGGCAGGCUGGUGGACUCAAGAGGAGUCUUAAAUAUUGGAAAUGUCAUCACAAACCAUCUGGGAAGCCCCCUCCUCUUAAAAAGGACAUAAAGUCAAAGUGAACAGGUGUGCUCACUCCAAGCCCGUGCCCACAACCACAGUGCCCUUCACAUUCAGAGUCAUGGCCACUAGCCACAAAAUUGUGACUUACAGUUCACAAAAUUGGGACAUAUUUACAUGUUGACUAAGUUGGGAAAUAAUUUGGAUUUUCUUUAAAAGUAGUAAAAGUAAAGAAGAAAAAGUCAAAAAGGUCUGACAUCUAAGAGGGUGAAAUUUCCUUACUUUAGAUCACAAGCAAUCAGGCUGAUCCCGCCUGAGCCCUGAGCUCCCUGGGACCCAGCAGCAGCUGUGCAUUGGCACGUGGUGCCCUGUGUCUGAUCAGCUGACUCCUCAGGCAAAACCUGCACCAUUUUCACCAGAAUUGCAGAUGUCCUCAGUGUCAUUACAAAGUUCCUAAGUCAUGACCAUUCUGUCCUGUGGAACCAGGCUGGACUAAGCUCCCAUUUCUUUAAGCCAUCCUGUCCCCUGCAGGGACUUCCAAGGUGGAGCUGAUGAGCAAUAGUUAUGAGUCAUUGGAGGAGACAUCCCAGAGGCGCCAGCUCCCCUCUGCCCUAAACUGAAAUUAAGACCUGGUGCUCUGGGUGGGGCCCCUGGAAGGGGAUGUGCAACUCAGAGGGGACCUUCUCCACCUCCACCCAGGAGACCCCAGAGGGACCAUGGCAGAGCCGGAGCCCUCUUUUUUUUUGUUCGUUUUUUAUUUUAUUAUUAUUAUACUUUAAGUUUUAGCCCUCUUUUAAAAACCAAAUGAAAAUAAGCAAAAGAAGCCAAUCGUCUCUGUGAAAUGUCCAGAAGAGGGAACUCUGUAGAGACAGAGAGGAUAUUAUUGGCUGCCGGAGGCUGGGAAUGGGAAGGUGAGGGGCCUGGGGAGGUGAUGGUUAAAAGAUUCUUCUUUGUGGUGAUGAAAUUGUCUUAAAAUGGACUGUGGUGAUAGUUGUGCAACUUGGUGAAUAUAUAAGUUAUUGAAUUGUACACUUUAAAUGGGUGAAUUGUAUGGUGUGUGAAACAUAUC
ensembl:lncRNA PPP1R26-AS1 PPP1R26 antisense RNA 1